rnacentral:lncRNA from 1 species
GCGCUGGGCCUCGGCUGGGACCGUCCAUGUAGCAGCAACCCGCGGCAGCUGCCGCGAGCAGCGUUCGGUUUCGUGUUUAAAGUUUGACAACUGUGCAAUGUAUUAAUAACGUCUUUUAUAUCUAAAUGUAUUCUGCCCAAGGAGUACACUGGUCCCAAGGUGUAAAGCUUUAAGAGUCAUUUAUAUAAAAUGUUUAAUCUCUGCUGAAACUCAGUGCAAAAAAAAUGAAAAAGACAAAAAAAAAAGGAAAAAAGAAAAAAACCCUGUAUAUUUGUACAAAAAGUUUUUAUGCCAAAGGCACCUCACUCGCAUCUGGUUAUCAGCAAAUGUAAAUUUAUUUUUUAUAGCAUAUUCAGGGGGAGGGGGUCACUCACAAGCUAUAGCUGCCGUACAAGCCCAUCUAGCUUGCAGUCUCUUCGCGCUUUCGCUGUCUCUUUUUACUAUUAUGAUUAUUUUAAACUUGAAGACAAAUCUGUUUUUUAAAAAAUGGUUCCUGAGCCGUCUGCACCACUGCCCCGGCUCCUCGUCCGCCGGGUUCUAAAUAAAGAGGCCGAAAAAUGCUGCAACUUAGCUCCUGUGUGCCUGUACUGCCUCCAGCUUUCGCCCCGGCACCCCCCAAAAGUUAGGGAGGCAGAGCUCAGGGGAGCAGCCUAAGAGGGCGGGGGACGACGGGGACUUUCUCCUGGCAGCACUGGCACUCGCCCACAUGCACCAGGGCACUAAGNGAACAAGCACACACUCCGUGUAGGGCUCAGAGCGGAGACCAAGACUCAGUUUCCCUGGCUCCGGGGAAACCACCCACACCCCGGCUGCCCAGUGGGACUCAGGUGGGCACCGGCGGGGGCCGGGCUGGCCGCGGACCCGAUGAGCGGGACCUGAGCUUUUAAAGUUCUCGAGACCUCGAACAAGGCGGAACCUCAAGCCUCUCCGAAGCCCCCAGCUUCGUGGGCACCGGUGCCCCCCAGAGUGGGGCCGAAGGACCCAGAUGUAUUCCUGGCCUGUUGGGCCCACAGUGGGGGAGGGGCGGGC